GGGCUAGUCUUGUAUUGGAAUGAUGGGAAUUUAAACCUCUUCCAGAGUAUCAUUGGAGGGCAAGUCUGGUGCCAGCAGCCGCGGUAAUUCCGCUCCAUAGCGUAUAUAAAAUUGUUGCAGUUAAAAAGCUCGUAGUUGAAUUUCUGCUGCCUUGUUAUUUCUCCUUGACGAGUUAUUUCCUCGUGACUUAUUUCGGAUUGCUUUUUGCCCGGUUGUUUACUUUAAAAAAAUUAAGCGCUCCCUCCCCGCUUUACCUUUGCAUGGUUUAAAAGGAAAACUUUGUUCAAUUUUGUUCUUUUUGGUGGUUUUAAGGACCAAAAAAAGG
rnacentral:rRNA from 1 species